UGAGGGUCGAUUAGUAAAUUAACACCCCCUAUUCCAAAGCUUCUUCCUCGGCGAUUCGAAGAAACAAUCCCAUGCCCAAACUAAUCGUCUUCUCAAAUCUUCCCAACGCCUUUGCUGGUUUUGCUUGAGGUUUGGCAUCUCUAAUCCUCGUCUCUCCGGCGUUCUAGUCCUCCAAAGAUUCCAGCCACCGGAUGCUAUCUCCGGCGAAUCAGAAUUGGUGAAGGAUGCUAACUCAGAAGGUUAUUACGUAACUGGAGGUUACAUAUCACCUGUGAAUGAUGCAUUCAAAAAGAGGAUUUUUCUUUUCUGAUCCCAGUGGAGAAAUAUAAUGGGCCAUCUUGAUAAAUUUCAUGGGCUUUGCUCUGUUUGCAAAUUGUAAGAAAUGCAUAUCAAGCUCUGACAAAGUGGCCAUGAAAUUGAGUGGCUGGGUGCAACAAAAGGUAUGAACUAUGAACAACUCAAUCUGUCUAGGAACCUUUGGUCAUUUUAAUUGCUUCCUGUUUAUUUUUCUAGCCUGGAAAUGAGACACCAUGGCUUUUUUCUCUUUAGAAUUUUAGUGCAUAAUGAAUCAGGAUGGAAUAUAUUUCUUUUUGUGUCUUGAAGUUCAAUAAUACCACUACCAGUGCUGUUAGAUCCCAUGCUCAUCUAGGGGGGAUAUAUAAAACAAUUAAAGGAGGUUCCUAAUAUUAGCUUCUGCCUUCUAAGCUCAUCUACUAACAUUUAGCCGAGAUUAUUUCUUGGCUUCUCGUCUAGUGGAAGAGAAUUCUAUUAAACACAAUUGCCUGUAAACUUAGGAAGCUUGUUAUAGAUCUUCUUUAUCUCCAAAGAACUCCUCAGAAGAUAAGUGAAGGUACUUUUUGUACUAGGAUCACUGCCUUAGAACUGAGAAAACCCACUCUAUUGAUAUUAAAUUCUCAUUGUGCUUAUCCUUUAGGCCUAUAUUUUUGUUGUUUUUGUCCUAUCCAAAUGUGGUUAUUUCCUUGCUUUGUUUACUUGUAUAAUUUAUUCCAGAGGGCCUAUGAGUAUAUAGAGGCAUGCACUCUAGAUUAGUGGGGAUAAGGAGCUCUUUUGAUGAGCAAUGGACAUGAUUUGCUCUUAUUUCAGAGGUAUUUAUUAGUAAAUUUAAUCAGUUCCUAGGUUGUUUGCUUAAGUAGAAGAGAUAGUUCAAGGAUGCUUUCGAACCAUUAGGGGUUACAUGAAAUUAUGCAGGAAUUUUCAAGCUCUUCAUUGACUGAAACGUGGAAAUCUUGCUUAUAUUGGAAAUGAAGGAUGAUCCACGUAAUUUUAACCUUAUGCCUAUGUUUGUGAUGGUCAUAGUUGGUUUAAAAUUUUAUAGGAUGCAGCGUUUAUAAUGCCACUUUGGACUGAAAUUGGGUGGAAUGGACUGUAGUAUUUUAACUUUUUAGGUGAAAUGUGUACCCAUUUGAUGUUCAAGUAACAGAAUUUGCUCAUAUUUUAGGGUUGCAUAUAAAAUUUAACUAGUUUGUCAACAUACAGUUGCAACAUUUUCUCUGAUUUUUCGUCAGACUCUUCCCUGGCAUUUGUUGAAACAACAUGAGGUAAGUAUGGGUUUUUUGCUGAGUAAACAGUUAUUGAUGGUAUCACUUGAGUAAGGAUAGCAAAUCAUAAUUUUCAGACUGGAGCUGUUUUCCAGGAAUGUAAGCCCAGGAAUACCCAAUGGCCUGUGAAGUGUGUGUUUUUGGUAAGUUCUUAUGGUUACAUGUAAAUGCUAAACUCUAUUUUAUGGGUCUUUUUCUCAAAUUGGUAGAGCACUUGGAACUUGAGCAUGUCUCAAAUAUGUUCUAAAGGGAUGGUGGUUCGAAUUCAUCAAGAUCUCUUUGAUUAAAAUAUUCAUACAAAAGUUAGUUAAGGCAAUCAUGGAAAAGUAAGUGUGAAUGACAAUUGUCAUGUAGAUAGCAGCAUGAAAAUGAAAAGAUAGAUAAAAAUAUCUUGAUAUAAAAAAAAAAAUAAUAAAUAAAUUAAAUGAAAAGAAUAUUAUUAUUCAUGCAAUAUUGGUUUUAAAGUCAUCUUUCUACCGAAAAUUCAAAGAGUUUUUUGUGCGACAAAUAAGUAAUCAAGCAUUGGACUUAAUCUAAAUCAACAUGAUUAAAUUGGAUAAUUUUAUUUAACUUAACUUUAAUAAGUAUAUAAGAUGAAUGGUUUACAUUCACUAAUAUUUUUAUUUUUUAACUGAUCAGAAGGUGUUGGUAUGUAGAAUAAUUCUUGUUUACUGGAUUAUAAAAAGGAUCAUUAUUUUUAAAAUUUAAAUAAGAAAAAUAAGAUAGAUAAAGAAGUAAUUGAAGUCAAGGCAAAUAAAAGUUAUGAAGUAGAAAAUUAGAUAAAAGUAAUUGCUUACAAGUUAUUAAUUAUGAUUGGUUUUUAUUUAGAAAGAUGACAAGUGGUAAUAUUAUAGGUUCAGUACUACUCUAAUUAUGACAUGUAAAAUUUGUGAAUAAUUAUAUUAUAUUAUAGGUUGAUACUAGGGCUUUUGGGACCGAUUCUUGUCAAUUCCAAUUUUUUUUAUUGGUAUCGAUAGGUCCUAAUUCGAUCUUUGAUUCCAAGUUUAAAACCCUUGGUUGAAUUGUACAAUUUGGAUUAGAAUCGAUCGUGACCAAUCACGAUUCUAACUAUUCUAGCUUGACUGGUUCUAGGGUUUGGACCAUUGGUUUUAAGGUUUGAGGGCCGAUUCUAGAUUUUUUGGGAUUGAUUUUGAUUUGAGUUGGAAAAGAAUAUGUAGGGAUUGACUUGAUCUCGGAUAACAAGUUUAAAAUCCUUGGUUGAUUAAAAUUGGAAUUGAUUGUGAUCAAUCCCAAUUUUGACAAUUUUAGAAUGACCAAUUUUAGGUUUUUGGGGAUUGGAUUAUUGGUUUUUAGAUUUGAGGGUCAAUUCUAGGGUUUUUUUGGAAUUGAUUCCAGAAUCUUUGUAUAUGAUUCGGAGAUUCCAUACUGGAAUCAAUAGGGACCAAUUCUCUCUUCAAUCUUGAGUUUAAUAUCCUUGGCUGAAUUAGUCGAUUUGGAUUGGAAUUGACUAUGACUUAUCACAACUCCUACCGCUUUGGAACAAUUGAUUCUAGGGUUUUUGGGACUCGAUUGCUAGUUUUCAGACUUAACGGCCAAUUCUGGCCAACUCUAACAAGGAAGAUUUCUAGGUUUAUUUCUAGAUAGAUAACAUAAUAUAUUUUUAUUCUUACACAAUGUAUUUAAAAAAAUGAUGAAUAUCAGGAUCCAAGGAAUCAACAUAAACCUUGAAAACAAAAUCCUAAACCUUAUACCCCAAACCUUGAACUUGUAAACGCUUCCCUAAAUUAAUGUACCUCAACGAACGUCUCAGACCCUGGAAAAAUGAAAAUCCUACAUUUAAACACUUAAUUUUGAUAGGGAGAUCCGAUGUUAUUGAAAUAAGGUCAAGGGGAGUUCCAUUAGAUCAAAAGAUUCAAUUUCAAGUGUCCUACUUCCAGGAUUAGAUCGUUAUUUUUUUCAAAUUUGAGGGCUAAUUCUAGGGUUUUGGGGAUUGAUUCUUAUCUAAUCGAAAUUGGAUCGGCAAGGAUUAUUUGAUCUCCAAUUUUGAGUUUAAAAUCCUUGAUCGAAUUGGUCAAUUUUGAUUGGAAUCAACCAAGCCCAAUCUCAAUUUGAAUCUUUCCAAAACGACCGAUUCUGAGGUUUUUAAGGUUUUUGAAAUAGAUAUCAGCCAAUUCCAAUCCGAUCCUAAAAUAAUUUGUAGCAACUCCCAAAAUCAUAUUUUUUUAGAUGGAAAAAAAUUCAAUCGAGCACAAAAGAGAAAAUAUGCACAGAAAAAUUUUUAGAGAUGACAUCUUCUCUAGAAAGAUGUUCGUGAUAGUAAAAAUCACCAUUUUGGGGGAAUCCACCUGCCAAUUUUGCUAUAUUUUUGAGGAAUCACUAUCCUUGAGACGAAACUCAUGUAGAAACCGAGAUACGACCUAACAUUUUAUCGGCUCGGAUAGAAAAGUUGGGAGGAGAUUUUGGGUGGGAGAGAGCUGCGAAAUUGGGGAAGAAGAAUUUAACAUGAUUUAAUCGGCUGUACUUUCUGAUUUUCUAUGGAAGGUGACGAUAUCAAUUCCAUGGGAAAGUGUAAUCUCCUAUGUACCCUUCUUUAAAAUGCUAUCUGACACAAAAAGUGGAGCUAUCAGCUUUUAGAUUGAUAAAUGAACAAUUACAUUAUCAACGUUCAGACAACUAGUAGGGAGAUUCUAAAUGAGGGUAAUAGACGAAAAUAAAAAUCUGUGGCAACUCUUUUGUAACGGACCUGGGUUACAUUCAGACAAACCUUUCAGUUAUUCAGGAAGCUCAAAGCAGCAGUUUCCGAUAAGAAAUAAAUUUAAUUUGUUGGAAAGCUUGAUUUUUCUUCUUAAAAAGUCAUUUGUUAGCAACAUAACCAAGAUCCCAAAGAUCAUAACAGAUGUACUUACCUUACUAUUCAUGGGCUAUGUUUAGCUACUAAGAUUUAUCAUUUUUUAUUUAAGGAGAAUGAAUUACCCCCCAAAAGUAACUAGAAGAUUUGGGGUUUCCUGAUCUAUGGACAUAAGCUUCCUAUGGAAGUCUGAACCACGUUAAACACUAUGGCUGCAACUUCUCUCUUUUUCAUCUCUAUCUCCGAUCAUGCGAACAUGGUAUCCAAGCGGUCAUGAUCUGGGCAGAUCGCUCUCCUCCAUUGUUGAUUUUGUUCUUUCUAUUUCAACUCUGCAUAUCAGAUAAGUUCUUUUGUUUCGUUUUCUUUGUCAUGGGUACUGCUGUUUCAGACACAGGUAAGCUGAGCUCUAAUGAAAUGAGUAAUUGAC